GUGAAGUGUUUGGGUGAACUC
rnacentral:miRNA from 1 species